CGCAUCUGUGCAUGCAGCAUAUCAAUAAGCGGAGGAAAAGAAACUAACAAGGAUUCCCCUAGUAACGGCGAGUGAAGCGGGAAGAGCUCAAGUUUGAAAUCUUAAAGGGUUUCCCUUUACGAAUUGUAGUUUAAAGAAGUGUUUUCUGUUGAGGUUUUGGUAAAAGUUCUUGGAAUAGGACAUCAUAGAGGGUGAGAAUCCCGUAUUUGACCUUUACUUUCAACUUUGUGAUACACUUUCAAAGAGUCGGAUUGUUUGGGAAUGCAGUCCAAAAUGGGUGGUAAAUUUCAUCUAAAGCUAAAUAUUGGCGAGAGACCGAUAGCGAACAAGUACCGUGAGGGAAAGAUGAAAAGAACUUUGAAAAGAGAGUUAAACAGUACGUGAAAUUGUCAAAAGGGAAGCGUUUGACACCAGUGUUGUUUUUCUGAAAAUCAAUUAAAGAACUGUUUAUGCUAAGUUGUUUAGACUUUAUCAGCUAUCUGUUUAGUUUUGAGCUUUUCUUUAAUGCACUUUUCAGUUAACAAGUCAACAUCAAUUUCUUUUGCUGUAAAAAAGCUUGAGGAAGGUGGCUUGAGAUUCGUCUUAAGUGUUUAUAGCCUCUUGCCUAUGCAGUCGGAGAGAUUGAGGUCUGCAGCGUAGAUCCUUCGGGGCUAAAUGCAUUUGUGCUAAGUUAUAGCAUUUUAUAGACAACUUGUUGACUAUGAUUUGUCUUGUAGCUUACUCGCUUAUGUUAUUUUACCUACGCUUAGGAUGUUGAGCGCAUGUCUCUCUCU
rnacentral:rRNA from 1 species